AUGGCAGAAUGCUUCAAUAAGGUGCUCAAGGGUGUACGUGCAUUACCCGUGACGACAAUAGUUCAGUACACAUUUGACAAGAUGAAUGGAUACUUUUUAAAGUACUCAAUGGAGACGGAUAAGCAGAUUGCUGGUGAGAACAAGGAUAAGCACAAGUACUAUUUCCCACCAAAGGUUGAAGAAUGGUUGGACUUUCAAUCACGAAAGGUAGACUCGCAAGAAGCUGUACUAUAUGACGACAACGAGUGGAAGUAUGAGGUGAAAGAGCCUGGAGGAACCACAAAUGAUGGCCACCAACACAGAGGUCGCGCUUUCAAGGUCUCCCUAACACGGUGUGAUUGCAGCUGCAUGAGGCCAACGUUGCUUCAUCUCCCAUGCUGGUAG
rnacentral:rRNA from 1 species